rnacentral:rRNA from 1 species
AAAUGGCUUUCCCUCCAGAGUGGAUCCUGAGUACGGCGGAACACGUGAAAUUCCGUCGGAAUCCGGGAGGACCAUCUCCCAAGGCUAAAUACUCCCUAGUGACCGAUAGUGAACCAGUACCGUGAGGGAAAGGUGAAAAGCACCCCGGAAGGGGAGUGAAACAGUUCCUGAAACCGUGUGCCUACAAGUAGUUAGAGCCCGUUAAUGGGUGAUAGCGUGCCUUUUGUAGAAUGAACCGGCGAGUUACGAUUUGUUGCAAGGUUAAGCGGAAAAAGCGGAGCCGUAGCGAAAGCGAGUCUGAAUAGGGCGCAUAAGUAACAGGUCGUAGACCCGAAACCAGGUGAUCUACCCAUGUCCAGGAUGAAGGUAAGGUAAUACUUACUGGAGGUCCGAACCCACGCACGUUGAAAAGUGCGGGGAUGAGGUGUGGGUAGCGGAGAAAUUCCAAUCGAACUUGGAGAUAGCUGGUUCUCUCCGAAAUAGCUUUAGGGCUAGCCUCGAGGUAAAGAGUCAUGGAGGUAGAGCACUGUUUGGACUAGGGGCCCUUCUCGGGUUACCGAAUUCAGAUAAACUCCGAAUGCCAUGUACUUAUACUCGGGAGUCAGACUGCGAGUGAUAAGAUCCGUAGUCGAAAGGGAAACAGCCCAGACCACCAGUUAAGGUCCCCAAAUAUAU